GCUUUCUCGUGUUUAUGCUUCGAUUUUAUUUCGCCGUUGUAAUUUUUCCGGGGAAUUUUAGUUUUGGUUUUAUUGCCGAGCAUUGAUACAUUAUAUUGGCUGAAUGAUUGAUGAUUAAGCGGCUUGCUGAAAUGCAGAAACAUGAACUACAUCAAGAAAUACAAAAUCCCGAAUUGAACAUUUAUCUGUUCUGCAGACCAUGGCCAUUAUUUUGAAGUACAACUUUUUGCUUUCCACAUUUAUUCAAAAUUAUGCGACACCUGAGAUUAAAGUGGAUAAGUUGUCACAAGAAUUCCAGCAGCUGUCAAAUAAGUUGGAAAAUAUGUCAACUGCAUGUGCGAGGCUCUGAAUUCGGAUGCCUGUGAAUUUGCCAACAUGAUUGAUGUUUUUUGCCGGAUGACAUACGGUGAUCGAAAAAGAACAUUUCCAUUUAUUCAAGAGUACACGUAUGUAUGGUAGUUUUUAUUUUUAUUGGCCAACCGUGUGGAGAACUUUAAUACUUUGAAGAACAAUUGGAUUUGGUUGCGUUUAAUUUGCAAAAUUGAUGGCAUUCGACGUUUACUUUGUACAAUCAACAGGCUCAAUGCAAUUUUAAUGCGUUAACCGAAUUAAAUAGGCCAGCUCG
ensembl:ncRNA lncRNA:CR45953 long non-coding RNA:CR45953